rnacentral:SRP_RNA from 2 species
GGUCGGGUCCUGUGCAACGUCGGCCCGGUCAACCAGGUCAGGGCGGGAACGCAGCAGCCUCCACCGGAUCAGGCGUGUGCCGCAGAUCGCCUGGCCGUC